GGAGGUGCUUAGCGGCAAACCCUGCCGUCACGAUUUUUUUCCGAAACAAAGAAUGGGUUCUCCUGUUUUUCGCCCUUCCAAACAGUAAACAUAGGCUAAUAAACUCGUUCUCCCUUGCGGGAAAAAAAAACGCAUUGUCCCUUUCCAACUCGGUUCUGCUUGACGCUCCCAUCGCUAUCGCUCUCUCCUAUCGCUGCUGCCCAAGGAUUGUUCGUGUCGGUUUAUUUUUUGAACGAAUUCAAACCGCGUCACGCCCAGCGCCAAAUCCGCCCGCUGGUUUGGCUUUGGCUACCGAAAGUUGGGAUUUGUUGCAUGCCCGUAGAUGAUGUUCGCCGAGGGGUUAGAUCGAGACUCGCUCAAGUGGGGUGCGGGAGAUGUGGCAGGGCCAUGGCACGGCGCUCCACAGCCGUGGACUCCUCGCCCCGCCGCACGGACGUUCCCCUGUACCGUUGCGCCAAUAUGCCCGGGCAGCAGCAGAAUUUCUACUCCAGUGACGGCUAUUCGGAUCUGAGCUCUUCGGGAGACAACUUUGCCAAGGGUAUGCAUCAGAGUAUUCCCAUACUGGCCCAGUCCGAAGAGAAGCGAACAAUGCGGUUCCUCGUAUGUCAGGCGAGCCUUCCAACUCGAGAACUUACCAGUCAGAUCACUAUAUUCUGCUCAAGUCACUGCUCGAGACAAUGUCAAAUCUUCUCCUAAAAUGGUUCUAGUAUAUUUUACAUCAGGCUUGCAGCUUUUACAUCAGACGAGCUACAGUUUUGCAUGUGGUACUUUUAAAUCUGGCAAAAGAAAAUUUAGAGAACUGACAUUAAACUCGUAGACUGGAAAGAUGAAGUGGUAACCAUGUAUGCUUCAACAUCAAACCAACCUUAAUUUUUAUUUUUGUAUUGAGAAAAGUAUAUUUUUGAUCCCUCAACUGGCAGCAAAGUUUAGAAAUGGUCCCUCAAUUGGCAAAACCGGAUACUCGUCAAAAAUUCUUAGGAAAAACCACACUAGCGAAGUCAAAACCAAUCAAAACCGUCCAAAACCGGUAGAGGGACUAGAAGUAUCCGGUUUUGCCAAUUGAGGGACCAAAUGCAUAGGAUUUUGAGUUGAGGGACCAUUUCUAUACUUUGCUGCCAAUUGAAGGAUCAAAAAUACACUUUUCUCUUUUGUAUUUGAUUGUUUCCUCACAAAGAACACUAUACAUGUUAACAUGUACUAACACUAUAUAGAGAACUAUCACUAUAUAGAGCCAUAGAGCUUAUGCCCUUUGGACUCAUGACAUUCAUUUAAGUUUCCCCAGUAUUUCAAGCAUUACUAUGUACUAGUAAUCGAGCACAUGCAAUGCACGUGUUUUUUGAAAAAUCCUAAUUGAAUAAAAUAAUUAGUGAAAACAUAUACUCCCUCCGUCCCGAAAUAAGUGACGUGGAUUUGUAUAAGAAUCUAUACGAAUUCACAAAACAUGUACUUUUCCGUACAUGCAUGUGUCUGUCGUAUAUUCAUUCAUCAUGGUACAACCUCUCCGGUACCCUCACACCCAAAUAAAUAAAUAAAUCUGCACCAGUUUUACAUAUGAUUUGUCUCUGGUGGUACGUACAUUAGAAGCUUGCCGAUUUGGCUCCCAUCGGCCAUGGUAUGAACAAUAAAAAGCUACUCUCACAAUUAAAAAAACCUCUUGUAACUUUAAAAAAACAAACUCUUGCACUCUUUUGGUACAUAUGGUAUUCCUACAGCCUCAUGGUAGGUAUUGACCAAGUGAAAAAAAGACAACCACAACAAGCUCCUCUCGAUAAAAAAAAACUAAUCUGCAAAAAUAUUAUCUCCAAAUGGAUGCUUAAAAAUCUCAGAUCCCACAAGAAAACUCAUCUCCAGAUCAAUAAAAAAAUCGCACUUGACAAAGUCUCCCACAACAUCCUCCUUUCAAGAGAAAAAAAAAA